AUCAAUAAGCGGAGGAAAAGAAACCAACAGGGAUUGCCCUAGUAACGGCGAGUGAAGCGGCAACAGCUCAAAUUUGAAAUCUGGCCCUUGGGUCCGAGUUGUAAUUUGUAGAGGAUGCUUUUGGUGAGGUGCCUUCCGAGUUCCCUGGAACGGGACGCCAUAGAGGGUGAGAGCCCCGUCUGGUUGGACACCGAGCCUCUGUAAAGCUCCUUCGACGAGUCGAGUAGUUUGGGAAUGCUGCUCUAAAUGGGAGGUAUAUGUCUUCUAAAGCUAAAUAUUGGCCAGAGACCGAUAGCGCACAAGUAGAGUGAUCGAAAGAUGAAAAGCACUUUGAAAAGAGGGUUAAAUAGUACGUGAAAUUGUUGAAAGGGAAGCGCUUAUGACCAGACUUGAGCCCGGUUAAUCAUCCAGCCUUCUGGCUGGUGCACUUGGCCGGCUCAGGCCAGCAUCAGUUCGGCGCGGGGGAUAAAGGCUUCGGGAAUGUGGCUCCUCCGGGAGUGUUAUAGCCCGCUGUGUAAUACCCUGUACUGGACUGAGGUUCGCGCAUCUGCAAGGAUGCUGGCGUAAUGGUCAUCAGCGACCCGUCUUGAAACACGGACCAAGGAGUCGUCUUCGUAUGCGAGUGUUCGGGUGUCAAACCCCUACGCGUAAUGAAAGUGAACGCAGGUGAGAGCUUCGGCGCAUCAUCGACCGAUCCUGAUGUUCUCGGACGGAUUUGAGUAAGAGCAUACGGAGCCGGACCCGAAAGAAGGUGAACUAUGCCUGUAUAGGGUGAAGCCAGAGGAAACUCUGGUGGAGGCUCGCAGCGGUUCUGACGUGCAAAUCGAUCGUCAAAUAUGGGCAUGGGGGGCGAAAGACUAAUCGAACCUUCUAGUAGCUGGNUUCCGC
rnacentral:rRNA from 1 species